CCCUCUGGGGUGCCGCCGGCGGACUAAUCCGUCAGUGGUGAAAUCUACAUGCUUCACAUGUACUGUGCCAUUGAUACUGUUAGACUAGUAUGCCACUGACGUAGCUGGAAUGUUUUAUGUAGCGGUGAAAUGCUUAGAUAUAACACAGAACACCGAUCGUGAAGACAGGUUACGAAUUUGUUAUAGACGCUGAUGCACGAAAGCGUGGGGAUCAAACA
rnacentral:rRNA from 1 species